GCCGAAGUGGCGGAAUUGGCAGACGCGCUAGGUUCAGGACCUAGUGGGCGCAAGCCCAUCAGGGUUCGACUCCCUGCUUCGGCACCA
rnacentral:tRNA from 1 species